UACGUAGGGUGCGAGCGUUGUCCGGAAUUACUGGGCGUAAAGAGCUCGUAGGUGGUUUGUCGCGUUGUCCGUGAAAACUCACAGCUUAACUGUGGGCGUGCGGGCGAUACGGGCAGACUGGAGUACUGCAGGGGAGACUGGAAUUCCUGGUGUAGCGGUGAAAUGCGCAGAUAUCAGGAAGAACACCCGUGGCUAAGGCGGCUCUCUAGUACGGUACUGACGCUGAGACGCGAAAGCGUGGGGAGCGAACAGG
rnacentral:rRNA from 1 species